AUGUACCGCAACUUUGCUGUCAACAUAACGAAGGGACGUCUAGUUCACAUGAGGCUUUGCGAAGCAUGGGUGGAUACGAAUGGCGACUUCCCUAGAGAGAUACAACUAUGGACCGAAAGAUGUGCCUGGGGCGUGGAGCUGGUGAAAGAUGGGGACUUUCUCCAUCUGAAGAAAGGAUGGCGUGGGUUCACAGAGGAGCACGGCGUGAAGGUAGGGGAUGUCGUCCACUUCCAAAUAGUCACCCCGUCUGCAUGGGUUCUCCGCAUCAAAGCACCGAACAGAGAGAUUAGAUGCCCGCGCAGCCACUGA
rnacentral:rRNA from 1 species